rnacentral:rRNA from 1 species
AUUGAACGCUGGCGGCAGGCCUAACACAUGCAAGUCGGGCGCGAGGCGUGAGGGUGGGUAAUGUAUGGGGAUCUGCCUGGUGGAGGGGGAUACCUACUGGAAACGAUAGCUGCUACCGCCUACCAUCAGAUGGACCCGUAUAGGAUUCGCUAGUAGGGGGGGUAAAGGCUCACCAAGGCGACGAUCCCUAGCUGGUCUGAGAGGAUGAUCAGUCACACUGGAACUGAGACACGGCCCAGACUCCUACGGGAGGCAGCAGGGGGGAAUAUUGCACAAUGGGCGAAAGCCUGAUGCAGCCAUGCCGCGUGUAUGAAGAAGGCCUUCGGGUUGUAAAGUACUUUAAGUUGGGAGGCGUUACCGACAGAAUAAGCACCGGCUAACUCCGUGCCAGCAGCCGCGGUAAUUC